CGGGGGGAGCAAGCGUUGUUCGGAUUUACUGGGCGUAAAGGGCGCGUAGGCGGCCACCGCAAGUCGGUUGUGAAAUCUCCGGGCUUAACCCGGAAAGGUCAAUCGAUACUGCGGGGCUAGAGUGCAGAAGGGGCAACUGGAAUUCUCGGUGUAGCGGUGAAAUGCGUAGAUAUCGAGAGGAACACCUGCGGCGAAGGCGGGUUGCUGGGCUGACACUGACGCUGAAGCGCGAAAGCUAGGGGAGCGAACGGGAUUAGAUACCCCGGUAGUCCUAGCUUUAAACGAUGAAUGCUUGGUGUCUGGGGUUUUAUAGUCCCCGGGUGCCGUCGCUAACGCUUUAAGCAUUCCGCCUGGGGAGUACGGUCGCAAGACUG
rnacentral:rRNA from 1 species